UUUUGAGACGGAGUCUCCCACUGUCGCCCAGGCUGGAGUGCAAUGGCAGACUCUCAGCUCACUGCAACCUCUGCCUCCCGAGUAGCUGGGAUUACAGGCGCCUGCCACCAUGCCCAGCUAAUUUUUUUUUGUAUUUUUAGUAGAGACGAGGUUUCAUUAUGUUGGCCAGGCUGGUCUUGAACUCCUGACCUUGUGAUCCGCCUGCCUUGGCCUCCCAAAGUACUGGGAUUACAGUGAGCCAAGAUCACACCACUGCACUCCAGGCUGGGCGACAGAGCAAGACUCUGUUUCAAACAACAAACAAACAAACAAACAAAAAAACAAGCUUUUGUUUCAGAUUUCUCAAAAUACAUCUAGAUAGAACAAAUGGAAACCCUCAAGCGUGUAGGUUUUACAAAUCUAGUUUAAAAGAGGAUUGUUAAUUUAUAACACAUUGUCAUAGCAUGACUAUCAUUUGUUCCUCAUUAGUAAAUGAAAGCUCCAAGAGCGAAGAGCUUGUGUUGCU
rnacentral:antisense_RNA from 1 species